CAGGUUUCUGACAAACUUUCUGAUCAUAGAACUGAACUUGGUAAGAAAUUACAGAAAUCUGAUGGAGAGACUGAUAACUUCAUGAAGCUGCUAACAAAAAGAUUGGGAUCAAGAAUGGAUUACACAGGACUGAAUGAACUGAUUAUAAUUUUUAUGAUUUUUCAUUUGAAGUAUUGCUGAAUUUUUAAUGUUUUGUUUUUUCAGAUUUAAGGAAAACUUUUUCUCUUUUCUCCUGAGCUAGAUAUGACAUAACAAUUUGGUAAAUGAUACUUUUGACACAAUUAGAAACACUGGUUAUAUUACCAAGGUUGUGACUAGAACAUCAUAUUUGCGAUAUAACCAUACAGCUUUUGAGGAAUGAAGAUUGGACUUUAUGGAAUAAAGCCACGCGGAAAUAUUGGCCUGGUACCUUAUGUUCCAAGCAGCACUUACCAGGAUAAGUAAAGAAUGUCACUUAUCUGGCAGCCUUACAAACUGAAGCUGAUAGACUUGAUACAAACUUAAGAGAUUACUCGAUGACAUCAUCAGAGACAUUUUAAACUGCAAAAGAUGCUUUGACGCUGACAUCUAAAAUUCUUCUUCACUGGCUGUCCUCUGAACUCAAAAACUGCUUUACAACUUGCUCCAACCAUUAACCUUGUUUUUCUUUUGUUUCCAUAGAAAUGCUUCUAUUAAAUACUUGAUUGCUUGCUUCCACAAUAUAAGUUUAACCUUGAGAGCCCACCUGCAUCACCACCUUCUAAAAUGAACUUAAUUGAACUGAUCUAUUAUCAGGACUAAGAAAUGUGUUCAGUGAGAUGAAACAAUCUACCAACUCAGCAUCUGGACUAUGAAACUUCUUUAAGUUUCAAAAGGACUGUGAAACUUUUAGUUUCAAAGGCGGGACUGUGGGAGAUCAAGAUUUGGCCACCCUGAAAUAUAUCUCUUUACCUUGA